UGGGGAAUAUUGCACAAUGGGGGGAAACCCGUACGAUGCAGCAACGCCGCGUGAGUGAAGAAGUAUUUCGGUAUGUAAAGACCCUAUCAGCAGGAAAGAAAAUAGACGGUACCUGACUAAGAAGCCCCGGCUAACUACGUGCCAGCAGCCGCGGUAAUACGUAGGGGGCGAAGCGUUAUCCGGAUUUACUGGGUGUAAAGGGAGCGUAGACGGUUUGUCAAGUCUGAAGUGAAAGCCCGGGGCUUAACCCCGGGACUGCUUUGGAAACUGUAGGACUAGAGUGCAGGAGAGGUAAGUGGAAUUCCUAGUGUAGCGGUGAAAUGCGUAGAUAUUAGGAGGAACACCCGUGGCGAAGGCGGCUUACCGGACUGUAACUGACGUUG
rnacentral:rRNA from 1 species